rnacentral:rRNA from 1 species
AGCGGCAAAGCUCAAGAUUUGAAAUCUGGCACCUUCGGUGUCCGAGUUGUAAUUUGAAGAUUGUAACCUUGGGGUUGGCUCUUGUCUAUGUUUCUUGGAACAGGACGUCACAGAGGGUGAGAAUCCCGUGCGAUGAGAUGCCCAAUCCUAUGUAAGGUGCUUUCGAAGAGUCGAGUUGUUUGGGAAUGCAGCUCUAAGUGGGUGGUAAAUCCAUCUAAAGCUAAAUAUUGGCGAGAGACCGAUAGCGAACAAGUACAGUGAUGGAAAGAUGAAAAGAACUUUGAAAAGAGAGUGAAAAAGUACGUGAAAUUGUUGAAAGGGAAGGGUUUGAGAUCAGACUCGAUAUUUUGUGAGCCUUGCCUUCGUGGCGGGGUGACCCGCAGCUUAUCGGGCCAGCAUCGGUUUGGGCGGUAGGAUAAUGGCGUAGGAAUGUGACUUUGCUUCGGUGAAGUGUUAUAGCCUGCGUUGAUGCUGCCUGCCUAGACCGAGGACUGCGAUUUUAUCAAGGAUGCUGGCAUAAUGAUCCCAAACCGCCCGUCUUGAA